rnacentral:rRNA from 1 species
GACGAACGCUGGCGGCGUGCUUAACACAUGCAAGUCGAACGGAAAGGCCCUGCUUUUGUGGGGUGCUCGAGUGGCGAACGGGUGAGUAACCAGUGAGUAACCUGCCCUUGCCUUUGGGAUAACUUCAGGAAACUGGGGCUAAUUCCGGAUAGGAGCUCCUGCUGCAUGGUGGGGGGUGGAAAGUUUCGGCGGUUGGGGGUGGUCUCGCGGCUUAUCAGCUUGUUGGUGGGGUAGUGGCUUACCAAGGCUUUGACGGGUAGCCGGCCUGAGAGGGUGACCGGCCACAUUGGGACUGAGAUACGGCCCAGACUCCUACGGGAGGCAGCAGUGGGGAAUAUUGCACAAUGGGCGGAAGCCGUAUGCAGCAACGCCGCGUGCGGGAUGACGGCCUUCGGGUUGUAAACCGCUUUCGCCUGUGACGAAGCGGGAGUGAGGGUAAUGGGUAAAGAAGCACCGGCUAACUACGUG